UACAGAGGGUGCGAGCGUUAAUCGGAUUUACUGGGCGUAAAGGGCGCGUAGGCGGUAGAUUAAGUUAGAUGUGAAAUCCCUGGGCUUAACCUAGGAACUGCAUCUAAUACUGGUUUACUGGAGUAUUGUAGAGGGUAGUGGAAUUUCCGGUGUAGCGGUGAAAUGCGUAGAGAUCGGGAGGAACACCAGUGGCGAAGGCGGCUACCUGGACAAAUACUGACGCUGAGGCGCGAAAGCGUGGGGAGCAAACAGG
rnacentral:rRNA from 1 species